rnacentral:rRNA from 1 species
UACGGGGGGGCAAGCGUUGUUCGGAAUUACUGGGCGUAAAGGGCUUGUAGGUGGCCAACUAAGUCAGACGUGAAAUCCCUCGGCUUAACCGGGGAACUGCGUCUGAUACUGGAUGGCUUGAGUUUGGGAGAGGGAUGCGGAAUUCCAGGUGUAGCGGUGAAAUGCGUAGAUAUCUGGAGGAACACCGGUGGCGAAGGCGGCAUCCUGGACCAAUACUGACACUGAAAGCGAAAGCCAGGGAGACAAC